AGCUGAGAGCUCGGACAGGUUUAAAUAGCCUCCUCUUCUCUGGAGGCUGUAUGGAGAUGAGCUCCUUGGAGGCCUGCUUUGCGUCACGGCUUUUUUUCUAUUUAUGGGGCACAAAUAUCAGGAGGGGACGCUUCAGGUGCACUCAGCCAAAACCAUUAAGGGUUACGUAAACGUUACACAGUCUUGGAUAUAAAUAGAAAAUCAUACUAUGAAGAUUAUUAUGUUCGCUUCUUAUUGUAUUGUGUUUUGGGUCCAGCUACAGGAACAGCUCUGAUAGGACAAGAUUUACUGCAGAGCUGUGAAGAUUACAUCUAGACUGCAGGUAAAGAAGACAACAGUGAGCUUUAUACAUUGAGACACUCACGGCUCAGGUGUGUACGUGGGCUUGGAGCCGUGGCGAAUGUACUGCGUGGAAUGGAAGACGCGGAACGCGAGUCCAGCCAGGAAGUCGCGGGACGAGAGCAGGCCGGCUACGGGGCGAAGCCGGAAACCUGUGCAUGCUGCAGGA